GAUGAAGAACGUAGCGAAAUGCGAUAAGUAGUAUGAAUUGCAGAAUUCAGUGAAUCAUCGAAUCUUUGAACGCACAUUGCGCCCCUUGGUAUCCCGAGGGGCAUGCCUGUUCGAGCGUCAUUUCACCACUCAAGCCUGGCUUGGUGUUGGGCGACGUCCUCUUUGGGGACGCGCCUCGAAACGCUCGGCGGCGUGGCACCGGCUUUAAGCGUAGCAGAAUCUUUCGCUUUGGAAGUCGGGGCCCCGUCUGCCGGAAGACCUGCUCGCAAGGUUGACCUCGGAUCAGGCAGGGAUACCCGCUGAACUUAAGCAUAUCAAUAAGCGGAGGA
rnacentral:misc_RNA from 1 species